rnacentral:rRNA from 1 species
GGGGAAUUUUCCGCAAUGGGCGAAAGCCUGACGGAGCAACGCCGCGUGAGGGAUGAAGGCCUCUGGGCUGUAAACCUCUUUUCUCAAGGAAGAAGAUCUGACGGUACUUGAGGAAUAAGCCACGGCUAAUUCCGUGCCAGCAGCCGCGGUAAUACGGGAGUGGCAAGCGUUAUCCGGAAUUAUUGGGCGUAAAGCGUCCGCAGGCGGUCUUGUAAGUCUGUCGUUAAAGCGUGGAGCUUAACUCCAUUUCAGCGAUGGAAACUGCAAGACUAGAGUGCGAUAGGGGCAGAGGGAAUUCCCGGUGUAGCGGUGAAAUGCGUAGAUAUCGGGAAGAACACCAGUGGCGAAGGCGCUCUGCUGGGCCAUAACUGACGCUCAUGGACGAAAGCCAGGGGAGCGAAAGGGAUUAGAUACCCCUGUAGUC